rnacentral:rRNA from 1 species
AUAGCUCAAAUUUGAAAUCUGGCGUCUUCGGCGUCCGAGUUGUAAUUUGUAGAGGAUGCUUCUGAGUAACCACCGACCUAAGUUCCUUGGAACAGGACGUCAUAGAGGGUGAGAAUCCCGUAUGCGGUCGGAAAGGUGCUCUACACGUAGCUCCUUCGACGAGUCGAGUUGUUUGGGAAUGCAGCUCUAAAUGGGAGGUAAAUUUCUUCUAAAGCUAAAUAUUGGCCAGAGACCGAUA